UGCAUGAUCACAGUCUCUCUCUUCCCUCCUCGUGGUUCAGCAUGACCACCAAUUCUCCCUUUUCUUUCCUUUUUAUUUCUUGCAUGACCACUUCCUCCAUGUGGACCCUCGGGUCCACCUCCUUCUUCUUUUCCUGAUGAUCCCUCAUGUUCGUCCCUUUUCUUUUCUUUUUCCAUACUCCCUCGUAGCACCCUUCUUUCUAUACCCUAGUGGUGACUCCCUCUCUCUCAUGUCACAUGGUCUCGUGAGACCACCAUGCCCCAAAUCCUUCUUCCCCUAAUACCGUGCAAAUAUAAUCCCAUCGUCGAGCCACACGUGAACAUAACCUAUCUCCGCGAAAACCUCUACCUAUCGCCGCGCAUGAACUUUUACCUAUCGCC
rnacentral:lncRNA from 1 species